UACGGAGGGUGCAAACGUUGCUCGGAAUUAUCGGGCGUAAAGCGCACGUAGGCGGUCGCGUAAGUCGGGUGUGAAAGCCCAGGGCUUAACCCUGGAAGUGCAUUCGAAACUGCGCAGCUUGAGUACGGAAGAGGGUCUCGGAAUUCCCGGUGUAGAGGUGAAAUUCGUAGAUAUCGGGAGGAACACCAGUGGCGAAGGCGGAGACCUGGGCCGAUACUGACGCUGAGGUGCGAAAGCGUGGGGAGCAAACAGG
rnacentral:rRNA from 1 species